rnacentral:rRNA from 1 species
AACGGACGCUGGCGGCAUGCCUAACACAUGCAAGUCGAACGAGACCUUCGGGUCUAGUGGCGCACGGGUGCGUAGCGCGUGGGAACCUGCCCUUAGGUUCGGAAUAACUCCCCGAAAGGGGUGCUAAUACCGGAUAAUGUCUUCGGACCAAAGAUUUAUCGCCUUUGGAUGGGCCCGCGUUGGAUUAGCUAGUUGGUAGGGUAAAAGCCUACCAAGGCGACGAUCCAUAGCUGGUCUGAGAGGAUGAUCAGCCACACUGGGACUGAGACACGGCCCAGACUCCUACGGGAGGCAGCAGUGGGGAAUAUUGGACAAUGGGCGAAAGCCUGAUCCAGCAAUGCCGCGUGAGUGAUGAAGGCCUUAGGGUUGUAAAGCUCUUUUACCCGGGAUGAUAAUGACAGUACCGGGAGAAUAAGCUCCGGCUAACUCCGUG